GCAGCAUCAUCAAGAUUCACA
rnacentral:miRNA from 3 species